rnacentral:rRNA from 1 species
AGUGAACGCUGGCGGUAGGCCUAACACAUGCAAGUCGAACGGCAGCACAGUAAGAGCUUGCUCUUACGGGUGGCGAGUGGCGGACGGGUGAGGAAUACAUCGGAAUCUACUUUUUCGUGGGGGAUAACGUAGGGAAACUUACGCUAAUACCGCAUACGACCUACGGGUGAAAGCAGGGGAUCUUCGGACCUUGCGCGAUUGAAUGAGCCGAUGUCGGAUUAGCUAGUUGGCGGGGUAAAGGCCCACCAAGGCGACGAUCCGUAGCUGGUCUGAGAGGAUGAUCAGCGACAAUGGAACUGAGACGCGGUCCAGACUACUACGGGAGGCAGCAGUGGGGAGUGGUGGACAAUGGGCGCAAGCCUGAUCCAGCCAUACCGCGUGAGUGAAGAAGGCCUUCGGGUUGUAAAGCCGUUUUGUUGGGAAAAAAAAGCAGCAGGUUAAUACCCCGCGGGUCUGACGGUACCCAAAGAAUAGGCACCGGCUAACUUCGUG